CAAAACAACUCGCUGACCUUCGGGCGGACCAGCUCCGGCUUCCACCGACUCCGGCAUUCCGUUGAAACCCGGCAGCGGCGGCUUCUAAGAUUUCACUCCGCGCUGGGCUGGGGGGAGGGGGUGAUUUCUCCGGGAGGGGGUGUCUCAGAUCGAAAGAGCCACUUCAUGCUCCUUCCUCUCCUCCGAAGUCGCUAGUUGGGCAACCUGAAAUGAGGACAAGUUUCACUUCAAGUUACCUGAAAGUGAACUUUCGCCUUUCCAAUUUGAUUCCUCCAACAUCUGUUGAAUGGCUCUCGGUCCUGGUCUGGAGGGACCAGCAGGACCCUGU
rnacentral:lncRNA from 1 species